rnacentral:lncRNA from 1 species
CUUUCUCCUGUGAUCAUCGGCAUGAUAGGAGGCGAGUGAGGAACUCAGUGUCUUCUGACACAGGCAUCUCACAACACCAGUGCAGCCGGACCGUUGUCUGAUCAAAGAAACUCUAGUAACGUGGAAAUUCAUGCUCCGAGUAGUGACAAGCCAGUGACUUUUUCUAUAGAAAGGGUACAAGACUCCAAUUUGAAAAUCUCAAGCAGCUUUAUAUUCAAGCAAGUUCAAUCCAAUCUCUUCCUGACUCACUGUCUCAUCAACAUGCAAAGCUCUCGAAGAGAAAUCAUCUCUUACUUGCCUGAGGGAGUUCUGGCAGACGUUUUGAAUGUGGAUGUGGAAGUUCUUUCCUCGUCUCCAUCCUGUCAAGAGCCGUGGAGCAAACAGCAGGAUGAGGAAGACAUGGAAGACAAAACUGAUAACGCACGUCACCUCGCUGCAGCGGGAGACAGAAUGUAACUUCAAUUCAGCCUCUUUGGGGUUUGGGUUCUGACCAAGUAAAUCGGGAAUGUUGUUAACAUAUCAAGCCAGCCUUUAUUGUUUGUCUUAACCCAAGAAAACACAAAAUGACACUUACUUUGUUGCUCAUUUAGGUUUUAACUUGUUGAU